UAAUGAGGAAUGCUACAGCUUCACCCACA
rnacentral:piRNA from 1 species